rnacentral:sRNA from 1 species
UACAAGCGGCAGGGACUCGGUCCAGUUG